UUUUUUUAUGUAUUUCUAUAGACUAUAAUAAUAAGUAGAGCUAGGCUAAUAUACUAUCGGUAGCUCGGAGGUCUCUGUGCUACCAAAUUCUUUUUAAUGAUGUAGCUUCCAAAUCGAUGAUUGACUCCGUUAGACUUGAUCUACACUAUUAAAAGUAUUUAAAAACUAAAUUUUAUAAUUUUUCGACAUCAUUUGGCUAGUGAUCAAAAGAUCUCAAAAUUAACAAUUUUAAUGAUAGAUUUGAUGCGUUUGUGAAUUUAACGGUGUAAACCAAUCCAAAUCUGAUUAUAUUUUUAUAGAAAUUUUUUUUCACUAUUUAGAGCAAUAUCAGUACCUCUGAUCUUAAAUUCAAGUCUUUUAUCAUUAUUUUUUUUUAGAUUUUUAUUUUCAACCGUUUAUUUUUAGACUACUCGUUUGAUAGGUAAAUAAUGCCAAAAAAUUAUGAAAUUUAGAUUCCAAAUAUUUUCAAUAAUGUAGAUCAAGUCUAACGGAGCCGAUCGUCGAUUUGGAAGCCGCAGCAUUAAAAACAACUUGGUAGCACGGAGGCCUCCGUACUAUUGAUAGUACAACAGUCUAGCUCUAAUAAGUAUAGAGAAUAAUAUUUAUUGGAGGCCCGACGCUGUAACAAAUAGUAUUAGAGGCCCACUUUUCGAAAGAAGAAGGCAACAGCAGCGUUUAAUGGCAUCAGGAAAGUUGUGCAUCAGUUCCUUGUUAUAAAAAUUGCACUAUAAAAUCCGUUUGCGAUUAAGCUGGUUAACAAAAUUAUGUUAUCAUAUUAAAAUAAACUUACAAGAAAAUAACUAUGAAAAUUCUGAAAUUGUUGAACAAAAGAAAGUAAAAAUCGUUCGAUUCUGAAGCGUGCAUAGCACUAUCCUAAAAUACAGGGCUUCGCAUGGCCUAAUUGUUAGAGAAGUAAUUUUUGCAGUAUUGAUUUUGAUUUAAAAAAUUAAUUUUGAUUAAAAGUUAUAGAGCGUUUGGCUGAAUUUAAAUAGAAAGUGAUUUUUCUAGAGUGAUUUCGUAAAAUUGUUGGCAAUUUUUUUUUAUUAUUUGUAAAUAAUAAUUUUUUAGAAUAAUUUUCUAAAGUGAUUUUUAGAAUAAUUUAAAUUUUGAAUUUAAAUUUAAAAAUAAUUUUUUAAGUCAAAAGAUAAAUUUAAUAUUUGAAAUUAAAAAUUUGAAAUUUAAAAUGUAAAUAUAAAUUUUAAAUGUUAAACAUAAAAUUUAAAAUUAAAAUUAAUAUUUUGAAAUAAAAAUUUGAAAGUAAUAAAUUUAAAAUUUGAAUUCAAAAUCAAAAUAAGAUGUCAAUUGAAGGAAAAAUUAUUUUUGACUCUAAAAUCACUU
rnacentral:lncRNA from 1 species